rnacentral:rRNA from 1 species
CAAUAGCGUAUAUUAAAGUUGUUGCGGUAAAAAAGCUCGUAGUUGGAUUUCUACCGAAGAUAGCCGGUCGGGUCUUCGACCUUGUAUCUGGUUUUGUCUUUGGUAUCCUCAUGGGGAACGUUGCUGCGCUUCACUGCGUGGUGCGGUAUCCAUGACUUUUACUUUGAGGAAAUUAGAGUGUUCACGGCAGGCAAACGCCCUGAAUAUAUUAGCAUGGAAUAAUAACAUAGGAUCUUCGUCCUAUUUUGUUGGUUUCUAGGGCUAAGAUAAUGAUUAAUAGGGAUAAUUGGGGGCAUCUGUAUCAACGCGUCAGAGGUGGAAUUCUUGGAUUGCGUUGCGACAAACUACUGCGAAAGCAUUUGCCAAGGAUGUUUUCAUUGAUCAAGAACGAAAGUAAGGGGAUCGAAGACGAUCAGAUACCGU